rnacentral:Y_RNA from 1 species
UGCUGGUCUGAGGGUAGUGAGUUAUCUCAACUGAUUGUUCACAGUCAGUUACAGAUCAAACUUCUUGUUCUACUCUUUGCCCCCUUCUCACUAUUGCACUUAAGUAGUCUUAA